GAGAGAGUACAUUCUCCCAAGUAAGUAGUGCACUAUUUCCAGAAGGAGGGGAAGCAGAUGCUGAGUACACUAAAAUAUCAGCUGUCUACUGCAGCUGUCCCUUCAGGGAACUUACAAUCCAAAGAAAAGGCUGAGGCGAGCAGGACAUUUCGACCGAAGCACAGAGGAUGAAAGCAGGAAAUUAGAAAGAAAAGACAUGGGAUCCUCAAGAAAGGCAUCUUGAAGAUCUGUCCUCAAUACUGGGAGCACGGUGAUGGAGGACACAGAGGUGAAUGAUGGUGAGGUCUUCUGGGAAAGGAGCAUUAAAUGAGACAAGUACAGAAAGACUCAAAAGACUUAGAAUUCAUCAGUGAGGAGAGGAGCCCAUUUGGUCUAUGUGGACCCCUCUACCUGGCUUCUCAGAGGGUCACAAUGGGAACACAUCCCAGCUGCUUAUAGUGGGCUCAUGAGAAGACCUGCAGCCACACAUUACAGAUUGGAUUCUCAGGAAUCAGACUGC